rnacentral:rRNA from 1 species
UACGAAGGGUGCAAACGUUGCUCGGAAUUAUUGGGCGUAAAGCGCACGUAGGCGGCUUUGCAAGUCCCAUGUGAAAUCCCACGGCUUAACCGUGGAAGUGCAUGGGAAACUGCAGAGCUUGAGUACUUAAGAGGAGUCGCGGAAUUCCCGGUGUAGAGGUGAAAUUCGUAGAUAUCGGGAGGAACACCAGUGGCGAAGGCGG